rnacentral:lncRNA from 1 species
GGCGAGGCGAGGCCUGCGGAGCGGAGGAAGACAAACAUAAAGAUGAAGUGCUUAAUUCAAGGUCACACAAUGUCGGGGAUGGACCUCCAGAUUUCCUUACUGACCUGCAUUAUCUUGUGGAUACCUGAGUGAAUUCCACACCACCCAUUUUAUAGAUGAAACCACUGAGACAUGGAGCAAUUGACUGAGUAGUCACUGCCCCACCCCUGCCUGGAGCCUCACACAUGACUCGCCUCCUCUCAGUGACCACAGGUUGGUUGAGGGGUUUAACAAGGCUAAGAAGGUGAGACGUGGUCUUGUAACACAGUGGUUAAGAAUGUGACUUUGGAGCCAGCCUGCUAGGGGCUGAAUUCUGACUCAGCCAUUUACUAACUGUGUGACCUUAGGGAGGAGGACCUGGUUGAUAGAAGAAUUUAUCUCGUAGUCUUAACAUCCACUGUAAUUCCAAACUUUGAGGACGAUAGAGAUCAGUGGGCUUUGACUGCCCAGCAUGCAGUCUCCAUUCUUAGGUCACAGAAUUUUCCACACUCCUUGACAGAGGUGCUUAACCCUUAUCCAUCAGCAUUCUCAGACAGCACCUCCGGUUAGGGACAGUAUCUGACCGUCCGACAUCCCUGCAGCCCCCAUGUGUCACACAGACUCAGCCUCAGGUAGAUGGUUUCCGUAGAUGGUGGCUUUCUUUGGACCCUUGACAUCAACCAGUUACUAUUUGACUCUUCUGCAGAACCCCAUGUUGACCCCUGCUUUGAGGUGGCAGAGUUAACACUACUCUUCGUUAUAAGCUCUCGUCUGGGGCAACUCAGAAGAACGGGACCAGAUGUGCAGAGGUAAUGAAUACCA